CCUACGGGGGGCAGCAGUGGGGAAUAUUGGACAAUGGGCGAAAGCCUGAUCCAGCCAUGCCGCGUGUGUGAAGAAGGCCUUCGGGUUGUAAAGCACUUUCAGUGGGGAAGAAAGCCUUGGGGCUAAUACCCUCGAGGAAGGACAUCACCCACAGAAGAAGCACCGGCUAACUCCGUGCCAGCAGCCGCGGUAAUACGGAGGGUGCGAGCGUUAAUCGGAAUUACUGGGCGUAAAGCGCGCGUAGGCGGUCUGAUAAGCCGGUUGUGAAAGCCCCGGGCUCAACCUGGGAACGGCAUCCGGAACUGUCAGGCUAGAGUGCAGGAGAGGAAGGUAGAAUUCCCGGUGUAGCGGUGAAAUGCGUAGAGAUCGGGAGGAAUACCAGUGGCGAAGGCGGCCUUCUGGUCUGACACUGACGCUGAGGUGCGAAAGCGUGGGUAGCAAACAGGAUUAGAUACCCUUGUAGUC
rnacentral:rRNA from 1 species